CUUUACUGUAGCCUGGUAUUGGGUUCGGGCUUUGACUGCGCAGGAUAGGUGGGAGACUGAGAAGUGUGCCUUGUGGGGCACAUGGAGUCAACGGUGAGAUACCACUCUGUCAGAGCUAGAAUUCUAACCUUCACCCGUAAUCCGGGGAAGGAACCGUAUCAGGUGGGCAGUUUGACUGGGGCGGUCGCCUCCUAAAAGGUAACGGAGGCGCGCAAAGGUGUUCUCAGGCUGGUUGGAAAUCAGCCGUAGAGUGUAAAGGCAGAAGAACGCUUGACUGUGAGAGUGACAACUCAAGCAGGGUGGAAACACGGCCUUAGUGAUCCGACGGCACCGCGUGGAAGGGCCGUCGCUCAACGGAUAAAAGUUA
rnacentral:rRNA from 1 species